GAUGAAGAACGGCAGCAAAAUGCGAUAAGUAAUGUGAAUUGCAGAAUUCAGUGAAUCAUCGAAUCUUUGAACGCACAUUGCGCCCGCUGGUAUUCCGGCGGGCAUGCCUGUUCGAGCGUCAUUUCAACCCUCAAGCCCCCGGGUUUGGUGUUGGGGAUCGGCUCUGCCCUUCUGGGCGGUGCCGCCCCCGAAAUACAUUGGCGGUCUCGCUGCAGCCUCCAUUGCGUAGUAGCUAACACCUCGCAACUGGAACGCGGCGCGGCCAUGCCGUAAAACCCCAACUUCUGAAUGUUGACCUCGGAUCAGGUAGGAAUACCCGCUGAACUUAAGCAUAUCAAUAAGCGGAGGA
rnacentral:misc_RNA from 1 species